rnacentral:rRNA from 1 species
CCUACGGGUGGCAGCAGUGAGGAAUAUUGGUCAAUGGACGAGAGUCUGAACCAGCCAAGUAGCGUGAAGGAUGACUGCCCUAUGGGUUGUAAACUUCUUUUAUAUGGGAAUAAAAUGUUCCACGUGUGGGAUUUUGUAUGUACCAUAUGAAUAAGGAUCGGCUAACUCCGUGCCAGCAGCCGCGGUAAUACGGAGGAUCCGAGCGUUAUCCGGAUUUAUUGGGUUUAAAGGGAGCGUAGGUGGAUUGUUAAGUCAGUUGUGAAAGUGUGCGGCUCAACCGUAAAAUUGCAGUUGAAACUGGCAGUCUUGAGUACAGUAGAGGUGGGCGGAAUUCGUGGUGUAGCGGUGAAAUGCUUAGAUAUCACGAAGAACUCCGAUUGCGAAGGCAGUUCACUGGACUGCAACUGACACUGAGGCUCGAAAGUGUGGGUAUCAAACAGGAUUAGAUACCCUAGUAGUC